rnacentral:rRNA from 1 species
AUUGAACGCUGGCGGCAUGCCUUACACAUGCAAGUCGAACGGUAACGCGGGGCAACCUGGCGACGAGUGGCGAACGGGUGAGUAAAGCAUCGGAACGUGCCCAGUAGUGGGGGAUAGCCCGGCGAAAGCCGGAUUAAUACCGCAUACGACCUACGGGUGAAAGGGGGGGGAUCGCAAGACCUCUCGCUAUUGGAGCGGCCGAUGUCAGAUUAGCUAGUUGGUGGGGUAAAGGCCUACCAAGGCGACGAUCUGUAGCUGGUCUGAGAGGACGACCAGCAACACUGGGACUGAGACACGGCACAGACUCCUACGGGAGGCAGCAGUGGGGAAUUUUGGACAAUGGACGCAAGUCUGAUCCAGCCAUGCCGCGUGCGGGAAGAAGGCCUUCGGGUUGUAAACCGCUUUUGUCAGGGAAGAAAUCUUCUGGGUUAAUACCUCGGGAGGAUGACGGUACCUGAAGAAUAAGCACCGGCUAACUACGUGCCAGCAGCCGCCGUAA